rnacentral:rRNA from 1 species
GCAAGUCGAGCGCGCCCUUCGGGGUGAGCGGCGGACGGGUUAGUAACGCGUGGGAAUAUACCCUUCACUACGGAAUAGCCUCGGGAAACUGAGAGUAAUACCGUAUACGCCCUUCGGGGGAAAGAUUUAUCGGUGAAGGAUUAGCCCGCGUUGGAUUAGGUAGUUGGUGAGGUAAUGGCCUACCAAGCCUACGAUCUAUAGCUGGUUUGAGAGGAUGAUC